UCUUAUCAAAUUAUAAAUAGAAGAGUUGCAUGGAGUGGAAGCAACCCUGGGUGUGUCUUGUAUGCGGGCACCCAAGAACCUAUCACUGAAAGGUCAAUUACAUUUAUUUGAAGAAAACUCCCUUUUUUUUCUUUGUUUGCCACUACCCAACAAGGAGAACUUGUUCCAUACAGCAUCCAUAUAUUAAAAGUGUCUUCAUACUAAAGGUCUGGUCAGCCAUGCUCAUAGCACAACAACAAUGAUCAUGGCUUACAUAUAUUGGCCACCCUAUCACACAACCCUGGUGAUAAACAAAAUUCCCAAUUUAAAGUAGGUAAUGACACAUACUGAUUGUAUAAUGACCUUAAUAAUUGCUUACAAUGUGUGUGUGUGUGUAUAUAUAUAUAUAUAUAUAUAUAUAUAUAAAUAAAAAUAAAAUAAAUGAACAAAAUUGACACUGGAAGAAAUCUUCUCUCUGCUACAGUUGUUAACACAGUGGAGGGAGGGAGGGUGUGUGUGUGUGUGUUGCCAAGCAUGUUGGCAGGCAGUCAAGUAAUAGUCAAAUAUUGUUUGGCCAGUAUCAAAAUCUAUUGACCAGCCAGCAGAUACAAAAAGAUUGUAUCAGUCACUCCAGAAUUGUCAUCACUGUCUCUUCACACAUAUGCACUAUCACCCCUAUAGAUAUAUAUAUAUAUAUAUAUAUGUAAAGUCUGAUGUGAAUUGAUCAUAUUCUCACUCACCAAUCAGUACAUCCUGAGAAAAAUCAGUUUACGCAUAAUAUUAAGGACAGGUGCUCAUGUGUAUGCACUGCCCCAACCAACUUGGAGUUCAAGCCAUCUGCACACCCAAUCAAUUUAAGAGGAUAACAACCUUAACUGGGCUUUCCACAUGUAGUCCUUGUUGGUUUAUUAUCACAGGCAGGUGUGAAGAUUAAUUCUUCCAGGGCUUGAAUCUACAGUAAAUUGGAUCUUGACCACAAGGACACAUGACAUAAAACACAUUGCAGCCAUACCUGGAAAUUGUAGAGCAACAUGGUUGACGUAACAAUUGGAAAUAUUUUGUCCCACAAAUAUUCAAACUGUAGCUGAAACAUUCAUGGGAUGAGAAUCUCAAAGAUGAACAAUUAUUGAAAGUCUUUUGAGUGACAAAGACUGUCUUCAAACCAUCACAUUCUCAAGAUACAGAAUUGUUUAUGACUUUUAGUCUGAGAUCACUGGAAGCCCUAACCCUAAACCAUGUUACACUAAAUUGUAUAUGCUCAGAGAGCAGCAGUUAAAGAGGGGAAUCGGCAGGGAAUCCUAUGAAUAGACAGGAAGCAGAAUGAAUUUAUGGGGGAGAAUUGCUUUGGCUGCUGAGGGCAAUGGCCUCACAGCAUUGGGUUGGUAAUAAACUCCACAUUCUGCUCGAAGGCUGCUCAUUAAAUGCUACUCCCCUCCUCCAUUGCUUGUGCCACCCUGUCCCACUUCUUCUCAUUGGGGAAUGAGAGAGAACAGUUUGCCAUGUGCACUAACAUGUGUGGGAACCAUUUUAAUCCAGAAGAUGAAGAAAAUAUUAUAGAUUUCAUUGGGUGGAGGACCAUUUAGAUGGUUGUUGUUGGGUACCAUUCAAAGUGCAGUAUUGUGAAUGCUUUUGGAACAACAAUCCUGUCUCACUCUCUCCAUACAAAACUAUGGCAUUUAUGCAAAAUUACAUGCUCAAAACCUUAGCUGUCUGUAAGUGUCUUAUUUUAUUGCUGUUCAUUGUUUGUGAUAAUCUGGAUUAAAGAUACAUUCCUCUUGAUUAUUUGAUUCCAUACUUAUUUUCACUUGAUGUAAGGGCUUUUGAGAAAAUGCUAUGAUGUGUUUUUUCAUGAAAAAGUAGCAUGUUCAUAAAACUUUUAACUUAUCUUUCUUAAUAUCAAUGUUAUCCUACAUUACAGUGUUUUUGGUUCAUACAUAUAUAUAUAUAUACAUACCCAUAUUGAUAGAUGUCAAAGUUGGUUGCUAGAUUUUAUUGCAAUCAUGUUUAGUGAAACAAACAUGUAACUUUUUUUCAUAAAUUCUUAAACAUGAAAGAUAUAACAUAGAAGUAAGUUUUGCAUAUGA
rnacentral:lncRNA from 1 species